rnacentral:rRNA from 1 species
UGGGGAAUAUUGCACAAUGGGGGAAACCCUGAUGCAGCGACGCCGCGUGAACGAAGAAGGUAUUCGUAUCGUAAAGUUCUGUCCUAUGGGAAGAUAAUGACAGUACCAUAGAAGAAAGCUCCGGCUAAAUACGUGCCAGCAGCCGCGGUAAUACGUAUGGAGCGAGCGUUGUCCGGAAUUAUUGGGCGUAAAGGGUACGCAGGCGGUUUAAUAAGUCGAAUGUUAAAGAUCGGGGCUCAACCCCGUAAAGCAUUGGAAACUGAUAAACUUGAGUAGUGGAGAGGAAAGUGGAAUUCCUAGUGUAGUGGUGAAAUACGUAGAUAUUAGGAGGAAUACCAGUAGCGAAGGCGACUUUCUGGACACAAACUGACGCUUAGGUACUAAAGCGUGGGGAGCAAACAGG